UGCUGCCACCGUGUACGUUUGAACUGGGCCUAGAUAGCUUUUGCGAAUAGAUGAUAUUUCAUACAUCCUCCUCGACACCUGAAAUCUGCUACACAUAUAAAAUGGGGAUGCUGUAUAUAAUAAUCAUGGCUUUCUUUAAUACAGCAACGUUUGCCCUUAACUUCUGCUCUCAACCAAACGAACAAUUGCACUACUGCUCUUCAAAGAACAAGGUGUAUGAUCGGCUGUGCCCGCAAGCACCCCGGAAGCACUGCGAGCAUGUUGGAGAGCAAAUGUGCCUCUGUAACGAAGGAUUCUAUCGGCUGAGGUUUUGGUACCCUUGCGUUAGAAAG